ensembl:snRNA Gm27942 predicted gene, 27942
AUGCUCACUUUGACAGCACAUAUACUAAGAAUAAUACAGAUCAUCAUGGCCUCUAUGAAAGGAUGACAUGUAAAUCUGUAAAGCAUUUCAUAAAAAA